GACGAACGCUGGCGGCGUGCUUAACACAUGCAAGUCGAGCGGGGAUACGAGGGAGCUUGCUCCUGAGUAUUCUAGCGGCGGACGGGUGAGUAACGCGUGAGCAACCUUUCUCUCAGUGGGGAAUAACACAGGGAAACUUGUACUAAUACCGCAUGAGACCACAGAGUCGCAUGACUUAGGGGUCAAAGAUUUAUUGCUGAGAGGUGGGCUCGCGUCUGAUUAGGUAGUUGGUGAGGUAACGGCCUACCAAGGCAACGGUGGGUAGGGAACUGAGAGGUUUAUCCCCCACAUUGGUACUGAGGCACGGACCAA
rnacentral:rRNA from 1 species